GUUCUCCAUCUACAUCGCAAUGCUUCAAUUGUAAUGAAAUUGGUCAUUACAAGAGAGAUUGCCCCAAACUAAAGGAAGAGAAGAAGGACGGAAACGUUGCUUCUCCUUCAGGGACUAAGGAGAUGUAGAAAGCUUGAUAAAGGCGAGAUGGAUCUACGCGUGGGAAAUGGAGCACGGAUUGCUGCAUUAGCCGUAGGAUCUUAUUUUAUUUCUUUUCCUAGUGGGUUUGUUUUGGAACUAGAAAACUGUUACUAUGUUCCUAGUAUCACCAGAAACAUCAUUUCCGUUUCAAGUUUAGAUUCUAAAGGUUUUAGUUUUCAAUUUAAAGACAAUAGUUGUUCUUUUGCUUUGAA